GUGCUCUCUUCAACAUUACAUAUACUAAAACUGGAACUAUACUGAGAAGCUCAUGGUCCCUGUGUAAGUAUGAUAUGCAUAUCCAUGAAGCAUUCCAUAUUUUU